rnacentral:rRNA from 1 species
GCAAGUGGUAGGAAGGCCGAACGGUGACGACCCUCGGGAGGCUUGCACAGGUGCUGCAUGGCUGUCGUCAGCUCGUGUCGUGAGAUGUUCGGUUAAGUCCGCUAACGAGCGCAACCCUCGCUGUGUGUUAUAUGUGUCACACGGGACUGCCGGUCUUAAGCCGGAGGAAGGUGGGGAUGAUGUCAAGUCAGCAUGGCCUUUAUAUCCUGGGCUACACACACGCUACAAUGGCCAACACAAUAGGUUGCUAAGCCGCGAGGUGGCGCCAAUCCAUAAAGUUGGUCUCAGUUCAGAUUGUAGGCUGCAACCCGCCUGCAUGAAGAUGGAGUUGCUAGUAACCGCAGGUCAGCUAUACUGCGGUGAAUACGUUCCCGGGGCUU